rnacentral:rRNA from 1 species
GUAUAUUAAAGUUGUUGCAGUUAAAAAGCUCGUAGUUGAAUUUCUGGAGGGCACGUUGGGACCGCUUGAUUGCGCGUCCUUGACGAACUCUCCAUCCUUGCAGGGAGUGCGUCGGCCUUCAUUGGUUCGGCGUAUCAACCUGCAUCCUUUACUGUGAAAAAAUUAGAGUGUUUAAAGCAGGCGAUCGCUUGAAUACAUUAGCAUGGAAUAAUAAGAUAGGACUUUGGUCUAUUUUGUUGGUUGCGGCCCAAGGUAAUGAUUAAUAGGGAUGAUUGGGGACAUUCAUAUUGAGGUGGAAGAGGUGAAAUUCUUGGAUUUCCUCAAGAUGAACUGCUGCGAAAGCGUCUGUCUAGGGCGUUUUCAUUAAUCAAGAACGAAAGUCAGGGGAUCGAAGAGGAUUAGAUACCCUCGUAGUCUUGACCAUAAACUAUGCCGACUCGGGAUCGGGAGCUUGAUUCAUCAGCUCUCGGCACCGUAUGGAAAACCAUUAAGUCUUUGGGUUCCGGGGGGAGUAUGGUCGCAAGGCUGAAACUUAAAGGAAUUG